rnacentral:rRNA from 1 species
ACGCUUGCUGCCCGGCCGCCAUCGGCUCGCGGGAUUUGACUGUACUGAGGUUUGUUACUACUGGACUGUACUGAGGGAACCUUGUUACGACUUGACUGACUAGAGGGACCUUGCUCCUGACUUGACUCGACUGUAGGCCUACCUUGUCACGACUAUGACUGCCUAGAGGUUGCCUUGGUGUACAGACCAUGACUGACUGAAGGCUACUUUUGCUACAGACUCGGCUGACUGAGGUUACCUUGCUACCACUUGACUGACUGCGGAUACCUUGUUACGACUUGACUCACUUAGAUAGCCUUGCAACUACUGACUGACUGAGGUUACUUGUCACGACGUGACUCACUGACAGUUACCUUGUUACACUUACCCCAUCAUCUGCCCCACCCGCGGCUGUAGCACUCAGUCAGUCAAAUCACUAUUGCGGCCGCCUGCUGACUGACCAUAUGUGAGAGCUCACCAACCGCUUUGUAUGCAUCGCUUGAGUAUUUUAUAAUGUCACCCUAGAUAGCUCGUUUGACAUCUUGGCAUUGUUGAUCAUUGUGACCACAAUUGCUUUUCCGUUCAAAAAUCC